CCGGAGACUAAGUGAAGAGGUCAGAAAAGUCUGCAUUCACAGGAGACGAGGUGGGAAAACUGGAAAGAUUGAAUGUCCUUUGGAGUU
rnacentral:lncRNA from 13 species